rfam:Hassallia byssoidea VB512170 scaffold_5, whole genome shotgun sequence.
GCUAUUCACCAAACAGUGGACAAGACUAGACAGCUAGUUCAUUCAUUGGACAGAUAGCCAGCCAUAGCGAAAGCUACGUUUUGAGAAUCAUGACACCUACAGGUGCUUUCGGUGCUUGUAGCUCUGUCGUCAACCAUUAAACAUCUGUAUUUGGUUAAGGAAGUGUGGUUGACCUAACAAGUUUUCAAAACAUUGGCGUUCGCGAAGCGUCUCCCUUUGGGAGAGGAAAACAUAAC